AACGAACGCUGGCGGCAUGCCUAACACAUGCAAGUCGAACGAUUCCUUCGGGUCUAGUGGCUCACGGGUACGUAACGCGUGGGAACCUGCCCUUAGGUUCGGAAUAACUCCCCGAAAGGGGUGCUAAUAGCGGAUAAUUUCUUCGGACCAAAGAUUUAUCGACUUUGGUUGUGCCGGCGUGGGAUUAGCUAGUUGGUAGGGUAAACGCCUACCAAGGCGACGAUCCCUAGCUGGUCUGUGAGGAUGAUCGGACACACUGGGACUGAGCCACGGCCCAGACUCCUACGCGAGGCAGCAGUGGGGGAUCGUGGAAAAUGGCCGAAAGGCUGAUGCAGCUAUGCCGGGAGAGUGAUGAAGGUCUUAGGGUAGUAAAGCGCUUUUAACCGGGAUGAUACUGACAGUACCGGGAGAAUAAGCUCCGGCUAACUCCGUG
rnacentral:rRNA from 1 species